rnacentral:rRNA from 1 species
UGCAAGUCGAACGAGAUUAAGGGGCUUGCUCCUUAUGAAAGUGGCGCACGGGUGCGUAACGCGUAUGCAACCUACCUUGAUCAGGGGGAUAGCCCGAAGAAAUUCGGAUUAACACCGCAUAACAACAUGGGAUAGCAUUAUUCUAUGUUCAAAUAUUUAUAGGAUCAAGAUGGGCAUGCGUGUCAUUAGCUAGUUGGCGGGGUAACGGCCCACCAAGGCGACGAUGACUGGGGGAUCUGAGAGGAUGGCCCCCCACACUGGUACUGAGACACGGACCAGACUCCUACGGGAGGCAGCAGUAAGGAAUAUUGGUCAAUGGAGGGAACUCUGAACCAGCCAUGCCGCGUGCAGGAAGACGGCCCUCUGGGUUGUAAACUGCUUUUAUUCGGGAAUAAACCACAUUACGUGUAGUGUGCUGAAUGUACCGAAGGAAUAAGGAUCGGCUAACUCCGUGCCAGCAGCCGCGGUAAUACGGAGGAUCCAAGCGUUAUCCGGAUUUAUUGGGUUUAAAGGGUGCGUAGGCGGCUUAUUAAGUCAGGGGUGAAAGACGGUGGCUCAACCAUCGCAGUGCCCUUGAUACUGAUGAGCCUGAAUGGACUAGAGGUAGGCGGAAUGUGACAAGUAGCGGUGAAAUGCAUAGAUAUGUCACAGAACACCGAUUGCGAAGGCAGCUUACUAUGGUUUAAUUGACGCUGAGGCA